rnacentral:rRNA from 1 species
AGUGAACGCUGGCGGUAGGCCUAACACAUGCAAGUCGAACGGCAGCACAGUAAGAGCUUGCUCUUACGGGUGGCGAGUGGCGGACGGGUGAGGAAUACAUCGGAAUCUACUUUUUCGUGGGGGAUAACGUAGGGAAACUUACGCUAAUACCGCAUACGACCUACGGGUGAAAGCAGGGGAUCUUCGGACCUUGCGCGAUUGAAUGAGCCGAUGUCGGAUUAGCUAGUUGGAGGGGUAAAGGCCCACCAAGGCGACGAUCCGUAGCUGGUCUGAGAGGAUGAUCAGCCACACUGGAACUGAGACACGGUCCAGACUCCUACGGGAGGCAGCAGUGGGGAAUAUUGGACAAUGGGCGCAAGCCUGAUCCAGCCAUACCGCGUGGGUGAAGAAGGCCUUCGGGUUGUAAAGCCCUUUUGUUGGGAAAGAAAAGCAGCAGGUUAAUACCCCGCUGUUCUGACGGUACCCAAAGAAUAAGCACCGGCUAACUUCGU